AGAGUUUGAUCCUGGCUCAGGAUGAACGCUGGCGGCGUGCCUAAUACAUGCAAGUCGAACGAGUUCUCGUUGAUGAUCGGUGCUUGCACUGAGAUUCAACAUGGAACGAGUGGCGGACGGGUGAGUAACACGUGGGUAACCUGCCCUUAAGUGGGGGAUAACAUUUGGAAACAGAUGCUAAUACCGCAUAGAUCCAAGAACCGCAUGGUUCUUGGCUGAAAGAUGGCGUAAGCUAUCGCUUUUGGAUGGACCCGCGGCGUAUUAGCUAGUUGGUGAGGUAAUGGCUCACCAAGGCGAUGAUACGUAGCCGAACUGAGAGGUUGAUCGGCCACAUUGGGACUGAGACACGGCCCAAACUCCUACGGGAGGCAGCAGUAGGGAAUCUUCCACAAUGGACGCAAGUCUGAUGGAGCAACGCCGCGUGAGUGAAGAAGGCUUUCGGGUCGUAAAACUCUGUUGUUGGAGAAGAAUGGUCGGCAGAGUAACUGUUGUCGGCGUGACGGUAUCCAACCAGAAAGCCACGGCUAACUACGUGCCAGCAGCCGCGGUAAUACGUAGGUGGCAAGCGUUAUCCGGAUUUAUUGGGCGUAAAGCGAGCGCAGGCGGUUUUUUAAGUCUGAUGUGAAAGCCCUCGGCUUAACCGAGGAAGCGCAUCGGAAACUGGGAAACUUGAGUGCAGAAGAGGACAGUGGAACUCCAUGUGUAGCGGUGAAAUGCGUAGAUAUAUGGAAGAACACCAGUGGCGAAGGCGGCUGUCUGGUCUGUAACUGACGCUGAGGCUCGAAAGCAUGGGUAGCGAACAGGAUUAGAUACCCUGGUAGUCC
rnacentral:rRNA from 1 species